CCUACGGGAGGCAGCAGUAAGGAAUAUUGGUCAAUGGACGCAAGUCUGAACCAGCCAUGCCGCGUGAAGGAUGAAGGCCCUCUGGGUUGUAAACUUCUUUUAUCUGGGACGAAAAAAGGGGAUUCUUCCUCACUUGACGGUACCAGAGGAAUAAGCACCGGCUAACUCCGUGCCAGCAGCCGCGGUAAUACGGAGGGUGCAAGCGUUAUCCGGAUUUACUGGGUUUAAAGGGUGCGUAGGUGGGUCUGUAAGUCAGUGGUGAAAUCUCCGAGCUUAACUUGGAAACUGCCAUUGAUACUAUAGGUCUUGAAUUGUCUGGAGGUAAGCGGAAUAUGUCAUGUAGCGGUGAAAUGCUUAGAUAUGACAUAGAACACCCAUUGCGAAGGCAGCUUACUACGGAUUGAUUGACACUGAGGCACGAAAGCGUGGGGAUCAAACAGGAUUAGAUACCCUGGUAGUCCACGCCCUAAACGAUGGAUACUCGACAUCAGCGAUAUACUGUUGGUGUCUGAGCGAAAGCAUUAAGUAUCCCACCUGGAAGUACGACCGCAAGGUUGAAACUUAANAGUAGUAGUAGCGUGNGAGAGACGACGACGACGACGACGGAGGGAGGAG
rnacentral:rRNA from 1 species